CCCUUAGAUGUCCUGGGCCGCACGCGUGCUACACUGACACUUACACCGAGUUUUUCCAAUGCCGAAAGGCCAUUGGUAAUCAGCAAUAAGUGUCGUGAUGGGGAUAGAUCUUUGGAAUUAUUGAUCUUGAACGAGGAAUGCCUAGUAAUCGUAGGUCAUCAGCCUGCGAUGAUUACGUCCCUGCCCUUUGUACACACCGCCCGUCGCUCCUACCGAUUGAAUGGUCCGGUGAAGCGUUCGGACCGUGGCCUUUGGACGGUUCGCCGUCUGUUGGCUGCGGGAAGUUCGUUAAACCUUAUCAUUUAGAGGAAGGAGAAGUCGUAACA
rnacentral:rRNA from 1 species